UCUCUAACCGUUUCUUGUAGACUACAGUACCGGUUUUUGAUCUGUCUCUUCAGUAUUUUCCAGUGGUUUCAUAGUCCUUGUGUUUGCCGUCUCUAGGUCAGUCUCUGGAUUUUUCCAGCUGGAUCGGUUCCAUUGUUUUCUCCUCCUGUGGAUCUUACCUGCAAGUCUGCCUGCCCGCUGCUCCCUCCACACCACUCCAUCGAUUCUCUGGCUCCCAGUCAUCACCGUCCUCACGCUCGUCUCAGGAACCUCUGAGAACCAUUCUCCACACUGGACCUUGGGCACAUUCCCCCACGCUUCAGCCAGAACCAUUCUAAAGCACCUCCGAUUGCACAACACAACUGCUCCCGGAAGGAUCAAGGAGAAUUGUCUAUUUUUCAAGAAAAUAAAACCCUUACCUUUA